rnacentral:rRNA from 1 species
CCUACGGGAGGCAGCAGUGGGGAAUAUUGGACAAUGGGCGCAAGCCUGAUCCAGCAAUGCCGCGUGGGUGAUGAAGGCCUUCGGGUCGUAAAGCUCUUUUACCCGGGAUGAUAAUGACAGUACCGGGAGAAUAAGCUCCGGCUAACUCCGUGCCAGCAGCCGCGGUAAUACGGAGGGAGCUAGCGUUGUUCGGAAUUACUGGGCGUAAAGCGCACGUAGGCGGUUAUUCAAGUCAGAGGUGAAAGCCCGGGGCUCAACCCCGGAACUGCCUUUGAAACUAGAUGACUAGAAUCUUGGAGAGGUCAGUGGAAUUCCGAGUGUAGAGGUGAAAUUCGUAGAUAUUCGGAAGAACACCAGUGGCGAAGGCGACUGACUGGACAAGUAUUGACGCUGAGGUGCGAAAGCGUGGGGAGCAAACAGGAUUAGAUGCCCUGGUAGUCCACGCCGUAAACGAUGAUAACUAGCUGUCCGGGUACUUGGUAUUUGGGUGGCGCAGCUAACGCAUUAAGUUAUCCGCCUGGGGAGUACGGUCGCAAGNUUAAAACUCAAAGGAAUUGACGGCUGAGACGNGCGAGACGACGACGAGGGAGUAG